UUUGCUCUUUCUGCUCUGAAGCCAUGCUUUCAGUGUCCAUUUUGUGCUGGCUCUAGCCUGAGCUAACAGGCUGAGUUUGUGUGGAAUCUGAGUAUUUUAGGAUUAGUAAGAAUAGGCUACUCACCAUUAUAGGUCACUCUAGGAGUGACAGAUAGACAGGUUAUUUAGUUGAGCAGCUCCAGGCUCCGACGAGGAGAGUCAGAGGUAUUAAGAUCCCGGGUACUAAUAGCCCAGAAGUAGGGACUAAGUGUAUAGGAACAGGGUAGAUAGAUUCCCCUCAGGUUCCACUUAGGGAAAGGCUGAAAGCUGGUUGUACCUUUAUUGCUGCUGAAUACGUCCUCUUUCCUGUGGGGACUAAUAUUGACCAAAAGGUGCUGUGAGUAUUGCUUAUUCAAUGUGAUACCAAAUCCUGUCAUGCUCUAUUGUAUACUCCACUGAGGAUUGUGUAUGUUCAAUAAAUCAGUUCAUGUUUAAAGGACCAGUAACACCAAAAAAUUUUACUUAAAAAUCCCAUUCUAAAAGCUAAAAAUAAUAGCCAUGCCCUAAUACAUUCAUAUAAAUUACACAGGGUUUUUUUAAAAAAAAUUCAAAAUAGCCUUGCUACAUUACCAUGUAGAACGGCGAAAAGGCGACCAGUUCGCCCUGCGUGCGCGUUCCCGUCUUGUUCCUGCACACAAAACCGGAAGUGACAAACCGGAAGUCAGAGUACAGCGCGCAGAACACAGAGGAGAAGCCAGGAGGUAAGGUCGUGCCUUACUGAGUCCACGAGCGAACUGCUGCAGGGAGGGAGAGACGCUAGAGAUACACUACAAGGAGCAAUCCCAAGGGCAAGGUGAUCCGACAUGUUUUGGCAAUGAGCCAGUGCGAGACACACCAAGUGUGCGCGACAGACCAAGUGUGCGCGACAGACCAAGUGGACAUCACCAUCAAACAGCAGAUAAUCAAAUUGGGACAACUGAGUGGUGUAGGUGUGGCAAUUGUGUGCCCAUGAAAACUGUGGAGGAAUCCUCUUGUUGCAUGGAAGCAUGGAAGAGGUGUUUACGUAAAUCCCACCUGGAAUACUUGCAAAUAUUUUGGAACAUGCAACGCCCCACAGGUGGAAUAAGCAGCCACAACAG